rnacentral:lncRNA from 1 species
AGAAUCUAGUAUCUAUGGAGUGAUUAUUGGGUCUCAUGUAUAGUGAAAGUGGAGAGUAAAACCUAUUGGGCCUGUCAACCGUGCAAACAAACCGAGCAGCACGGAGGCGAGAACAGUGCAAACAAACCGAGCAGCGUCCUGGUCUCCGCGCUGUGCGGAGUGUUCUCAACUGGUUCCAGAACUGGUUCUUCUACAGUUCAAUUUUGGAUUUCAAGGGCCAAGUGAAAACACGCUUCUCUCUCUCUCGACCACCAAACGAAAUCCUCAGUCACUUAUAAAAAACAGAAGCUCCGUAGAUUUGAAAAUCGAAGGAAUUGAACGAUAAUCCCAAAAAUGAAAUCAUUGUUGUGACUUCUUGAUCUUCUUCCUUUAGAUGUGCACAAUAGCCAAAGUAAUGGUGAUUUGGACUUCGAGAUUGGACCUGUGAGUGGUUGACUACUUCGACCUUCGAGUGGCAGAGGUUGAUUGGGAAGGGAUUCUGUAUGGAAGGCUAGUUGGAGAAUCGACUUUAGUAGCGGUGCGAUUGUUGUCCAGUAAGGUUUUUCGAAAUAAAUUAGUUCUUCCAGUUGAUAGUUGAUUCUUGAUGCAUUUGUUUAAAAAUUUUCCAUCUCUUCAUUGAAUCUUCUAUUUCUUGUUUAAAUUUAUUUUGCCUGAAGUAUUUAGCUAAACAAAACCCUCAAGCCUUCUUUUUCUCGAGGUCAG